rnacentral:rRNA from 1 species
ACUCCUACGGGAGGCAGCAGUGGGGAAUAUUGCACAAUGGGGGAAACCCUGAUCCAGCGACGCCGCGUGACUGAAGAAGUAUUUCGGUAUGUAAAGGUCUAUCAGCAGGGAAGAAAAUGACGGUACCUGACUAAGAAGCCCCGGCUAACUACGUGCCAGCAGCCGCGGUAAU